GACGAACGCUGGCGGCGUGCCUAAUACAUGCAAGUAGGACGCAGUUGCGAACGGGUGAGUAACGCGUCGGUAACUGCCUAUUAGAGGGGGAUAACUAUUGGAAACGAUAGCUAAUACCGCAUACUAGUAGAUGGACCUGCGUUGUAUUAGCUAGUAGGUAGGGUAAUGGCCUACCUAGGCAACGAUACAUAGCCGACCUGAGAGGGUGAACGGCCACACGGGGACUGAGACACGGCCCAGACACCUACGGGAGGCAGCAGUAGGGAAUCUUCCGGCAUGGGGCGAAACCGGACCGAGCAAAGCCGCGGGAGUGAAGAAGGUUUUCGGAUCGGAAAGCUCUGUUGUUAAGGAAGCGGUACUUAACCAGAAAGGGACGGCUAACUACGUGCCAGCAGCCGCGGUAAUAC
rnacentral:rRNA from 1 species